AACGAACGCUGGCGGCAUGCCUAACACAUGCAAGUCGAACGAGACCUUCGGGUCUAGUGGCGCACGGGUGCGUAACGCGUGGGAACCUGCCCUUAGGUUCGGAAUAACUCCCCGAAAGGGGUGCUAAUACCGGAUAAUGUCUUCGGACCAAAGAUUUAUCGCCUUUGGAUGGGCCCGCGUUGGAUUAGCUAGUUGGUAGGGUAAAAGCCUACCAAGGCGACGAUCCAUAGCUGGUCUGAGAGGAUGAUCAGCCACACUGGGACUGAGACACGGCCCAGACUCCUACGGGAGGCAGCAGUGGGGAAUAUUGGACAAUGGGCGAAAGCCUGAUCCAGCAAUGCCGCGUGAGUGAUGAAGGCCUUAGGGUUGUAGAGCUCUUUUACCCGGGAUGAUAAUGACAGUACCGGGAGAAUAAGCGCCGGCUAACUCCGUG
rnacentral:rRNA from 1 species